GUUUAAUAAUCAAAGUCAAAUCAACCCUAUGACUUAAAAUGGUUGUUACAGUGCUAAUAGCUUUUCAGAUUGCUCCCUCCACUCUCUAGCCGUCCAAGAUUAUGACCCUUUUUCCAUUUCUUUAAUUCUUUUUUUGGGUGAGAUUAAUGAACUUGUUAAUUGCACUUCUCUUUGUAUAUUAGUGAAUAAGAUAUGGGGAAUUAAAAUUUUAAGACAGCUGUAGGGGUUUAAUGUUUAGGAGACAAAACUACAAAAGCAUUCAAAGUAAAAGACUGGAGGGAAGUAUGGGACUAUGGGGAGAUGUGUACACUGUUUCCAUUACUAUUUUUCAACCCCAGAAAGCACGCUGCGUUGCUUGCACGAGCCCAUUGAGAGAAGUUUCAAAGGUUUACCCUCUUCUUUUUUCAACACGAUAAGAAGAAUCAAACGUGCUUUGGCGGUCCCCUUUUCUCCAUCUUCUGGAUAUUUACUUGUCAUUUAAGUUUGGGUUUGAGAAAAGAUUAUGAAUGGUGGGAUUUUGUCAUUGUAUAAUUUAAUGCAAGUAGGGAUCUAAGGAAACUUAAGAGCGACAACCGGAGUCAAUAAAUAAAGAAAGGAGAGGAAACUAUAAAUGUGCAUGGCUGUCCACGCGGUUUGGCUCAGCAAACCUUAGCUUUGAGUACGGUUGUACUCUUUGAAAUUUGUGGCAAAGUGAGUAAUAGAAAACUUGGGAUAUAAUCUAAAUGCUAAUAAAAUACUCUGCUUGGGCAAGGAGAUCGACGCGAAAUCAACACGUAAGAAAUAAGCAGAGACAGAGACACAGUCUUGGUCGACAGUUUAGACUUUGAUUCAACCUUCAAAGCCCAUACUAGAAGAUAUAUUAGGCAUGGAGUUGACUGAGGAAAAUUUGCGAUUUUUCUGCCUAUGCGUUCUGACUGAGUCGCCUUCCGCCGGGUAAUCAAUUAGCAGGCCUAGCCUUUAAAUGUGUGCUUGAUUAAUGGUCUUGGUCGGUCACGAUUUGAAAACCCAUUUUCAUAGCCCAGUUGAAAUUGAAUGAUCAGACAUUCAAACUUGCAGAAUGUUCAGGUCUCUGGCCUGUCUGAAGGGGACGGUUUCAGAGGCCCUGGCCACUGACCAAAAUCCAUGAACAGUAUGACAAACAGUACGGGUCCUGUAGUGCAACUCUUCCAACAAAAUCUUCAGCUGGUGAUUUAACCCUGAACAGAGAUGCAUCGUCCAGCUGAAAACGAGGAACCCUGUAUGUUGCAACUGACUUGUGUAAUCAGUGAACUAAAAAAGACUCUUUGAAGGAAAAUGCUAUGAAUGCUAUGUGCACUCCAGCAUUUCUCAAAAGAAGGUUCCAUCAUUACUUUUUAUAUUUUCCUUUAUAUAAACCCAGAAAAGGUUCACCAGCACAAGAGCAAUCAGAUCAGACAAUGAUCCUUAUACAAUUUCCUGCCCAUUUCCUCAGAACGUAUCUGUAUCAGGAUACAAAAGAAAAGGUUCCUCCUAGACAAUCAUUGAAACAGAAAGAGUUGACUUUUUUACAAGCGAAAAAUUACAUCUCGGGAUCAGUUUUUUUUUUUUUUUUUUGGUG